rnacentral:rRNA from 1 species
UACAGAGGUGGCAAGCGUUGUUCGGAAUUACUGGGCGUAAAGGGCGCGUAGGCGGCCAUCUAAGUCAGACGUGAAAUCCCGGGGCUCAACCCCGGAACUGCAUUCGAUACUGCCAGGCUGGAGUACUGGAGAGGAGAUUGGAAUUUACGGUGUAGCAGUGAAAUGCGUAGAUAUCGUAAGGAAGACCAGUGGCGAAGGCGGAUCUCUGGACAGUUACUGACACUGAGGCACGAAGGCCAGGGGAGCAAACGGG